UACGAAGGGGGCUAGCGUUGUUCGGAUUUACUGGGCGUAAAGCGCACGUAGGCGGAUCGUUAAGUCGGGGGUGAAAUCCUGGAGCUCAACUCUGGAACUGCCUUUGAUACUGAAGAUCUUGAGUUCGGGAGAGGUGAGUGGAACUGCGAGUGUAGAGGUGAAAUUCGUAGAUAUUCGCAAGAACACCAGUGGCGAAGGCGGCUCACUGGCCCGAUACUGACGCUGAGGCACGAAAGCGUGGGGAGCAAACAGG
rnacentral:rRNA from 1 species